GGAGGAGAAGCAGAAUGGAUUCAUGCACCAAUCUUCUAAAUUGGCAUCUGUAAUAGAUGUUGUGGGUUCGAAUCCCACCUCCUUCA
rnacentral:tRNA from 1 species